rnacentral:rRNA from 1 species
UACGGGGGGGGGGCAAGCGUUGUUCGGAAUUACUGGGCGUAAAGGGCUCGUAGGCGGCCAACUAAGUCAUACGUGAAAUCCCUCGGCUUAACCGGGGAACUGCGUCUGAUACUGGAUGGCUUGAGUUCGGGAGAGGGAUGCGGAAUUCCAGGUGUAGCGGUGAAAUGCGUAGAUAUCUGGAGGAACACCGGUGGCGAAGGCGGCAUCCUGGACCGAUACUGACGCUGAGGAGCGAAAGCCAGGGGAGCAAACGGG